AGGCAAAUAAGAAGCAAGAGCCUCUUGCAUCUCAUUCUGAGAGAGUGGAUCUUAAAAUCCAUAAUAGCAAAUGAAGGGCCAGCCGAGUGUGGCCAGACGCCACCUGACCUGGAGGUGAUGAAGGGGAGGGGGCUGGUGAAGUCGGUGUGGCAUCAGGCCACCACAUGAGCCUCAACUGGAAAAAUGCAGAGAGGAAAGAGAAAGGACAGAAGGACACCCAGCCAAGGACGAAGGCAAAGGCAUGGAUUCUCGAGAAGGCUGAAGCCCAGAAUAAACUGAGGGCUGUUUUUAAAAGAAAUUGAUGUAUUUCAGGAGAAUAUGACCUCCCUGGCUGUUUCUCUGGGAGGAAGGAGUGACAGUGAGACCGAUUUCAGCUCCAUCUCAGAAGAACUUUAUCACAGACUCCCCCACCGUGGAGGGGACUUCAGGGUUUGCUGAGCAAGUGGAGGACAUGGUAUUUGCCAUCUUUUCUUCUCCAAGGUAGCCUUCAUAGGACCAGAAAGAGUAGUGCUCGACUGCUGGGCCGAGUGGGGCAAGAAGCCCCCACAGGAAAUCUUGCAGAACAAAAAUGGGACCAUCACUGUGAAGUCACUGCGGGGAGAGGGAAGCGUGGAAAUGGUGAGCUUUGUUUCCCCGUGGAGAAUGGGAAUUGGGGCUGGAGCUGAACUGGGGGAUGGAGUAGCCCCGAGCUGUGUGGGGAGCUUGGGAGAGCACCCUGAGGAGGAAGACCCGUGGCUUUUAGGGUUGUGCUGAGGAACGUGAAGAAUCUCCCCUUUAUCCCACCUCGAAAUCCUCGUGAAGUUUUGUGGUCUCACUAAUACUUUGAGAAGUGAAUUUGCUUUUCAAGGACUUGAUGAAGUUCUGGUUUCUGAUCAAGUUGGACCUGACACAAAAAUGAAAGGCUGCUCAUGGUAGACGAGCCAAGUAUGAAUUGCAGCAACGUUCAUCGCUACUAGCCAUUGAACUCUGUGUGCCGCACAUGGGGACGAAGACAUUAAGUGAAAUCUUACAUUUAAUUUUGCCAUAAUCCUAUGAGGAGGGAAAACUGAGGCUCCAAAGUCAAGCUGUUGAUGAAGUUGGGGUUCCAACCCAGAUCCAUCUAACCUCAGGGUCUGUGUUUUCUAGCCUCCCCAGGAGGUUGCUCCCUGGGCAUUCGAAUGUCCAGGUCUGAGCUGUGAUCCGCUGUCAGGUAUGUGGCACAGGGACUUGAGCACUG
rnacentral:lncRNA from 1 species